GCCAGAGUGGUGUAGUGGUUUAAGUGCUAGACUACAACUCUGGAGACAGGUUCAAAGCCCUGCUCAGCCA